rnacentral:rRNA from 1 species
AACGAACGCUGGCGGCAGGCCUAACACAUGCAAGUCGAACGCCCGUAGCAAUACGGGAGUGGCAGACGGGUGAGUAACGCGUGGGAACGUGCCCUUCGGUUCGGAAUAACUCAGGGAAACUUGAGCUAAUACCGGAUACGUCCGUAAGGAGAAAGAUUUAUCGCCGAAGGAUCGGCCCGCGUCGGAUUAGCUAGUUGGUGAGGUAACGGCCCACCAAGGCGACGAUCCGUAGCUGGUCUGAGAGGANGAUCAGCCACACUGGGACUGAGACACGGCCCAGACUCCUACGGGAGGCAGCAGUAAGGAAUAUUGGUCAAUGGACGAAAGUCUGAACCAGCCAUGCCGCGUGGAGGAUGAAGGUCCUCUGGAUUGUAAACUUCUUUUAUCU